GUUUAAUCAGCUGUUCAACCAAAGUGAUCUUAAGGGCAUGUUUAAUUCCUGCACAGUAAUUCAAAUUGACCCUGUAUUCCUCAACGUGUACAGUAUCUGCACAUUCAUAUCAAAUGAGAGCAAUAUCAAUGAAUUAAAUGCCACAACAGUCUAUUACAACAUUGUUAACAACCUACAAAAUGGCCUCCUUGGAGAAUAUCAACUGGACAUGGAAAGCAUUACAAUAACAGAAAGGGGCGCUUUUGGCGCUAAUUCACAGCAGAGUGGUGGAGCCUCCUUGCCCUUCUGGAUCAUCUUUGCCAUCACCCUGUCGUGUUUGCUGCUUGCUGUGCUGCUUCAUUGCUGUUGCUGCUUUUGGCUGAUUGCCUGCUGUAGACGGAGAUAUUACCGAAAAAGAAAGCACUGGCAAAAAGUAUAUAUUUAUCAUGUCGUCUAAUACCUUUGGAAACCAGGACUUCAGAAACAUAUUAAAAGUGUUUAUUUAAUUUAACGGCGUGCCUCGCGGUAUGUGGACCACAGAGCAAGGCUCAAAAUAUAUGUCCGUUCCUAAAUUGAAGAUUUAAAUACCUUUGGUUAUACCCUACUUCAAUAAUUCCAUAUAAUAUCUUUGUGUUGAUCAAGUCAGUAGCAAAGAAUCGUUUUAUAGAUAACACACCCCGCUAGCCUCUUUGUGCCUUCUUUAGCUCUUAUUUUUAUGGUUGUGUACUCUUAGAGCACAGUUUUUUUGUUGUUGUGAUGCAUUGAAUAAUAAAAAUAUAUAUAUAAUGUAUACCAUUCAAUUAAAGAACUGGUGUAUCAUCUUUGGUCACUUAUUAUUGAAAAUGUGAGUACAAGCAUUGUUAUAGAUUAUGUAUUUCUUACAUGUUUGUGGAUUUGUGACCGAGGACACACAGAUGAGCAUAUAUGCAUAAGCAAAUCGUUAAUAUAUGCACGACUUUCAAUGAAUGCGAGUACGUGUACAGCUCUUUGUCGUGGGGGUUAUUUAACCAUACUUUACCAUGCUGAUGAGUACGGUUUAAUGAAGGUGGGGGAAACAGAUGCAGGAGCAUAUAAGCACAGUUCAACAAUUACAAUGCGCAAAAGAUGAUUGAAUGCUUAUCUAAUAAAAUAUCAUUCCUUGAGCAAACUUUUUAAAUUGCAAUUAUUGGGGUAGUGCAUAAAAAAUCAGCACGAUAUUGUCUUUAUAUAAUUGAACAACAAGCUUGUUAAUGACCCAGCUCUCUUUGCCUCUCUUACAUCUCUAUUCCAUUGCCACUCCGCUCCCUCUCUUUGCCUUUGCUGGUAUUUCUCUACUCAGUGUUUUACAAAAGUCUCUAACAUUGUUCCUCCUCUCUUCGA